AAGUCGCUUAUAGGGGUUGAAAAGAGUUACUUCUCCAGGUUACAAGAUCCAACCCAGUGUAUCAGCAAGGCGUAACAAGUGUCUGUGUGACGUCACGCGGCUUUCUGGAGGCGGAGCCUGUGAUCGCGGGAGCAGGUGGGGGUGGGACUCUCCCGCAUCGUGGAUCGUUUGCCCCACCCUCGGGAUUUUGUUCCUUCGUACCACCGCCACCUUCAACCUCCUCCUUUUCUCCCCCGUCGUCUCUUUUACUCUCUUUUGAACUUUGUUCGGUGACCCCCCACCUGUCUCUACUCUACCAAGUUGCAAGAACACCGAACUGCCACAAAAUACUCGAGUAAACUGUAAUCAAAUAACCGUUGACCCUUUGAAGUUAACCGGUGAAGUCAAGCGAUCCAGCCCGACGACGCACCGAUAUUACUUGAUACGUAGCUUCGUUGAAGUUGGAAAGAAUUUUCCCGGAAUACAUACGCGAAAAGAUGGUGUAAGGCGCUUUAAAGGUCUCCGGUCGGCGUGUUCCCGCAACGCUACCGUUUAUUGCACUGUGGUCUGCUAAAGUGCAAUCGAGGAAGCAAAAUGCGGUUUCACUCGUUCGUGCGGGGCUCGCAAGAAUGUAAUUAACCCCUCGGAAGUGGCACGGUGCUUCGACCCGUGGCCGAUUUUACCUGCGUUUUCUUAUCUCUCUGUCUUUAAAAGUGAGAAGCGCGGACGAGGGACACCUCGCCGAUCGGUUUUGUCGGUUCACACCGAUCUACCGCAAAAAUCGGGUCUGCGUGUCGUGAAACCGCAAUUACUUACGCGAAAGACGCCGGCCAGAUCUAUCGCAGUUGUCACGUGUGUUUAUGGUUGUUCGGCCAUGAUGUAAUCCCAUUGUUUUUUUACUUGAUUUUUCUAGUCUGUAUGUUGAGACUUUUUCUUUUAAUUGCAUAGUUUGCUUCCUUUAAUAAGAAAAUGUACAAACAAUGUGGUAAUUCAAUUCGUGGUUAGGAAUGCUUAAUAUAUAGAAUAGUUAACCAUUGUUAUUUGUCUUGCGAAUUAAUGAUCAAUUAAGAUAAGAUCUCUUGUAAUAACUUUUCUUUGGUAGCAUCGUGUUGUAGUUAGUACAUUUCUUUUAACAGAAAAUUGUACAAAUCGUGUGGUUAUAGAUAUGUAACAGAUAGCAAUUGUCACUUAUCCUAUGAAUUAGCGAUUAAUUCGAUUUUUUGAAAUGAAAUUAGAUUGCAAAAUCAAAGAAUAUUAGCCCGUUAGACAGAAAAUAUAAUAGAUAGGCUAAUCAUAUUUUUAGCAUAGGAUUUUCAGGUUUAACCCCUUCCAUGUUCAUUGUCAGAAUCUCAUUCACGUGCCCAGGUGCUUCUUGGGUGGGAGGAAGGCAAUGAGCAUGAUGAGUAGUCUAUAAACUUAACAAUUUUUUCAGCGACUGACGUUGCGUUAGCGAAUCGUGCACGAUGUAUUUUCCACUGUGUGUGUAUGUGGUUAGGCUGUGGAAUUGCGUCGUUUUUGCUAUUUAUUAUAAUGUUGAAACAGUUAUGGAUUCGGAAAUAUGAAUCCAAUUAUCAUUGAAAAUAACAGUGUUAAUAAAU
rnacentral:misc_RNA from 1 species